UGCAAGUCGAACGGAGAUUACAGGCGGAAGUUUUCGGAUGGAAGCUUGUAAACUUAGUGGCGGACGGGUGAGUAACACGUGAGCAACCUGCCUAUCAGAGGGGGAUAACGAUUGGAAACGAUCGCUAAUACCGCAUGACAUAGCGGAAUCGCAUGGUUCUGUUAUCAAAGAUUUUAUCGCUGAUAGAUGGGCUCGCGUCCGAUUAGAUAGUUGGUGGGGUAACGGCCUACCAAGUCGACGAUCGGUAGCCGGACUGAGAGGUCGAACGGCCACAUUGGGACUGAGACACGGCCCAGACUCCUACGGGAGGCAGCAGUGGGGGAUAUUGCACAAUGGGGGAAACCCUGAUGCAGCGACGCCGCGUGAGGGAAGACGGUCCUCUGGAUUGUAAACCUCUGUCUUCGGGGACGAAACGAGACGGUACCCGAGGAGGAAGCCACGGCUAACUACGUGCCAGCAGCCGCGGUAAUACGUAGGUGGCAAGCGUUGUCCGGAAUUACUGGGUGUAAAGGGAGCGUAGGCGGGCAGGCAAGUCAGGCGUGAAAUAUAUCGGCUCAACCGGUAACGGCGCUUGAAACUGCAGGUCUUGAGUGAAGUAGAGGUUGGCGGAAUUCCUAGUGUAGCGGUGAAAUGCGUAGAUAUUAGGAGGAACACCAGUGGCGAAGGCGGCCAACUGGGCUUUUACUGACGCUGAGGCUCGAAAGUGUGGGGAGCAAACAGGAUUAGAUACCCUGGUAGUCCACACCGUAAACGAUGAUUACUAGGUGUGGGGGGACUGACCCCUUCCGUGCCGGAGUUAACACAAUAAGUAA
rnacentral:rRNA from 1 species